rnacentral:tRNA from 1 species
GCCCCUUUAGUUCAGCCCGGAUAGAAUGAGCGGUUGCGGUCCGUUUGACCGGGGUUCAAAUCCCCGAAGGGGCG